GAUGAACGCUGGCGGCGUGCCUAAUACAUGCAAGUCGAGCGAAUGGAUUAAGAGCUUGCUCUUAUGAAGUUAGCGGCGGACGGGUGAGUAACACGUGGGUAACCUGCCCAUAAGACUGGGAUAACUCCGGGAAACCGGGGCUAAUACCGGAUAAUAUUUUGAACUGCAUGGUUCAAAAUUGAAAGGCGGCUUCGGCUGUCACUUAUGGAUGGACCCGCGUCGCAUUAGCUAGUUGGUGAGGUAACGGCUCACCAAGGCAACGAUGCGUAGCCGACCUGAGAGGGUGAUCGGCCACACUGGGACUGAGACACGGCCCAGACUCCUACGGGAGGCAGCAGUAGGGAAUCUUCCGCAAUGGACGAAAGUCUGACGGAGCAACGCCGCGUGAGUGAUGAAGGCUUUCGGGUCGUAAAACUCUGUUGUUAGGGAAGAACAAGUGCUAGUUGAAUAAGCUGGCACCUUGACGGUACCUAACCAGAAAGCCACGGCUAACUACGUGCCAGCAGCCGCCGCGUAA
rnacentral:rRNA from 1 species